CAAAAAAAUGAUGCCCUUUUAGAAGAGUGAAGGCCUUCUGGCAAUGUUCUCUUUAACCCAUGAUGUGGGUUAAGAGGGGUGAACCAAUGUUUUGUUUUGAAUGAUUAUGAGGCAGCACAUGUACCCUUAAAGUUUCUUACCUACAUUGGGUCUUCAUCUUUUGUCUAUCAAAGUAUCAGGUUAUCCACGUGUAAGGUUGGCUGCAAACUCAUUCACAAAUAAAAGUACACCCCAUUAUUGCACAUAACAGACCUCUUUCCACUUCUAUUCUUAGAGGCAUAGUGAGAAAAAAAAAAACAUUCAAAGAUAAGAGUUUCAUGACAGUAGAAGUUUUAAUCUGUGAACUUGGGAAAAGCUGUUUACAUCAAGGAUACCAUCUUCCUCUUGGGAGAAAUUCUCCUGGUUACUUUACCUCAAGGGUUACAAGGGGUACACAGUAACAGAAGUGUGGAGGGACCCUUCUCAUUUGCGAGGCCAUAAACCCAAAGCCCAAAGUCCCAAAGUUUUGUUGCAGUGUGGAUGGCAAGGACAGUCUUUCACUGAUGUUUCCAGAAGAUUCAAACCUUAAAAACCUUUCUUUACCUGGUGAAAACAAAUUGUAGCAUAAUAAUCUACUGUUACAACAUCAGCUCUCUUACAAGGGAAAACAUUCAUACAACUAGAAAUUAUGCAUUGAAAAUAACAGUUGAACAAAAUCUCUUUAUAAAAUGUUCAAAUGGCCCACCAGGUGACCAAAUGUACCUGAAGCUUUCAUUAUUUUUCUAGGAAUAUAGGAUCUAGCAUUGGUUAUAAACUAUUUUAAACAAUUUCAGUACUAGCUGGUUUAACAUGAAGGUAAUUUAUUCUUCCAAUUAUAUGGUCAAUUUUAGAAUAAGUGCAAUGUGGUGCUGAGAAGGAUGUAGAUUCUGUUGAUUUGGGGUGGAGAGUUCUGUAGAUGUCUAUUAGGUCUGCUUGGUCCAGAGCUGAGUUCAAGUCCUGAAUAUCCUUGUUAAUUUUCGGUCUCAAUCUAAUAUUGACAGUGAGGUAUUAAAGUCUCCCACUAUUGUGUGGGAGUCUAAGUCUCUUUAUAGGUCUCUAAGAACUUGCUUUAUUAAUCUGGGUGCUCCCGUAUUGGGUUCAUAUAUAUUUAGGAUAGUUAGCUCUUGUUACAUUGAUCCCUUUACCAUUAUGCAAUGCCCUUCUUUGUCUCUUGAUCUUUGUUGGUUUCAAGACUGUUUUAUCAAAGAUGAGUAUUAUAACCCCUGCUUUUUUUUUUUUUUGCUUUACAUUUGCUUGGGAAAUAUUCCUCCAUCCCUUUAUUUUGAGCCUAUGUGUGUCUUUGCAUGUGAGAUGGGUCUCCUGAAUACAGCACACUGAUGGGUCUUGACUCUUUAUCUAAUUUGCCAGUCUGUGUCUUUUAAUUAGGGAAUGUAGCCCAUUUACAUUUAAGGUUAAUAUUGUUAUGUGUGCAUUUGAUCCUGUCAUUAUGCUGCUGGCUGGUUAUUUUGCCUGUUAGUUGAUGCAGUUUCUUCAUAGUGUCUAUGGUCUUUUCAAUUUGGUAUGUUUUUGCAGUUGCUAAUACCAGUUGUUCCUUUCCAUGUUUAGUGCUUCCUUCAGGAGCUCUUGUAAGGCUGGCCUCAUGGUGACAAAAUGUUUCAGCAUUUGCUUGUCUGUAAAGGAUUUUAUUUCUCCUUCACUUAUGAAGCUUAGUUUGCUGGAUAUGAAAUUCUGGGUUGAAAAUUCUUCUCUUUAAAAAUGUUGAAUAUUGGCCCCCACUUUCUUGUGGCUUGUAGGGUUUCUGCAGAGAGAUCCACUGUUAGUCUGAUGGCCUUCCCUUUGUGGGUAACCUGACCUUUCUCUCUGGCUGCCCUUAACAUUUUUUUCUUCAUUUCAACCUUGGUAAAUCUGACGAUUAUGUGUCUUGGAGUUCCUCUUCUCAAAGAAUAUCUUUGUGGUAUUCUCUGUAUUUCCCGAAUUUGAAUGUUGGCCUGUCUUGCUAGAUUGGGGAGCAGAGGCCUCAGAAAUACCACCACACAUCUACAACCAUCUGAUCUUUGACAAACCUGACUAAAACAAGAAAUGGGGAAAGGAUUCCCUAUUUAAUAAAUGGUGUUGGGAAAACUGGCUAGCCAUAUGCAGAAAAUUGAAACUGGACACCUUCCUUACACCUUACACAAAAAUUAAUGAAGAUGGAUUAAAGACUCUCACAUAAGACCUAAAAGCAUAAAAACACUAGAAGAAAACCUAGGCAAUACCAUUCAGGACAUAGGCAUAGGCAAAGACUUCAUGAUUAAAACACCAAAAGCAAUGGCAACAAAAGCCAAAAUAGACAAAUGGGAUCUGAUUAAACUAAAGAGCUUCUACACAGUAAAAGAAACUAUCAUCAGAGUGAACAGGCAACCUACAGAAUGGGAGAAAAUUUUUGCAAUCUAUCCAUCUGACAAAGGGCUAAUAUCCAGAAUCUACAAAAAACUUCAACAAAUUUACAAGAAAAAAAAAAACAAAAAACCCAUCAAAAAGGGGGCAAAGGAUAUGAACAGACACUUCUCAAAAAAGGAUAUUUAUGCAGCCAACAAAAAUGAAAAAAAAAAAGCUCAUCACUGGUCAUUAGAGAAAUGCAAAUCAAAACCACAAUGAGAUACCAACUCAAACCAGUUAGAACGGCGAUCAUUAAAAAGUCAGGAAACAACAGAUGCUGGAGAGGAUGUAGAGAAAUAGGAAUGCUUUUACACUGUUGGUGGGAGUGUAAAUUAGUUCAACCAUUGUGGAAGACAGUGUGGCAAGUCCUCAAAGAUCUAGAACCAGAAAUACCAUUUGACCCAGCAUUCCCAUUACUGGGUAUAUACCCAAAGGAUUAUAAAUCAUUCUACUAUAAAGACACAUGCACAUUUAUGUUUAUUGUGGCACUGUUCACAAUAGCAAAGACUUAGAACCAACCCAAAUGCCCAUCAAUGAUAGACUGGAUAAAGAAUAUGUGGCAAAUAUACACCAUGGAAUACUAUGCAGCCAUAAAAAAGGAUGAGUUCAUGUCCUUUGCAGGGACAUGGAUGAAGCUGGAAACCAUCAUUCUCAGCAAACUAACACAAGAACAGAAAACCAAACACCACAUGUUCUCACUCAUAAGUGAGAGUUGAAUAAUGAGAACACAUGGACACAGGGAGGGGAACAUCACACACCAGGGCCUGUCGUGAGGUGGGGGGCUAGGGGAGGGAUAGCAUUAGGAGAAAUACCUAAUGUAGAUGACGGGUCAAUAGAUGCAGCAAACCACCACAGCACGUGUACACCUAUGUAACAAACCUGCACAUUCUGCACAUGUAUCCCAGCACUUAAACUAUAAUAAUUAAAAAAAAGUAUUUUCUUGAUAUUUAAUUCCUUUUUUGUUUUACUUGGGUUAGUAUCUUUAUACAAGUAAAUUUGGUUAUUUCUGUGGUUUAUGGUAAUAAACCACAGAAUUAGAUAAUUGUGUAAUAAAUUGGUAUUUAAUAAUACCAAUUAAAUUAUUAAUUGGUAUUAAUUAUUAAUUAAUACCUAUUAAAUUAUUAAAUUAAUAAUUUAAUAAUAAAUUAGGUAAUUGCUAAUAAAUCACAGAAUUAGGUAAUUGUGAUUGUUAGCAUAUACUUAGACAUUGGAAUUUUAGAAAUCCCAUACAAUUUUGGAAUAUAUAUUAGUAUUAUUCAUGAAAAUAUUACCUAAAGAAGAUCGAACAUCAUUUUGGCCAUCUCAUAUGCCUAAAAAUGUCAAAUAAUCCUGUUUACCUCUUUUCUGGAUGUUUUCAGGGGCCCUCUGAUCUAUCAAGAAACACAGGCAUUAGGAAAGACAAUUUUGAAAGUGAAGUUUGAUUUUGGAAUUUCAGAUUACCAUAAAUUAUUUUGCCAAAAUGACUCAGAAAUGUUAAAGCAAAAACCUUUUAUAAUCUUUAAAAAAAAUUAAAAAAUGCAUUCUACCGUUUUUACACACCUUGAAUGUAAAACUGUUUCUAAUAGUCUUAAUUGCAUGUUACAAUUACAAUCUUAGCAAUUUUAACUUUAACAUAAAACCUGGUAAGUUAUGUUUCCAUAAGGUUUGACUGUUUCCAGCAUAGCUAGGGCCUGGCCAACUCCACAUGGCCCCAGCCCUUACCUAGCUGAAAGGCAGGCAAGUUAAACAAUUUUCAAAAGCAAAAGAAGCAGUUUAUGACCUUAAGGUAUUAAGCAAACCUAAUAUUUGAACAUAAUUUAGAACACAUAUUUACAUUUUGAAGACAAUUGUAUUUUACCAAUAAUCUUUAAAACUGUGUCUAUUUCCCAAAGACUGCUAAAGUCACGUGAACUAAAACAUAUUACACAUUCUACUUUUCUGACAAAAUGUUUGAUUAACCAGUUUACACAAAGAGGCCAGACACUGGUAAGAAAUUCA
rnacentral:lncRNA from 1 species